GACGAACGCUGGCGGCGUGCUUAACACAUGCAAGUCGAACGGUAAGGCCCUUCGGGGUACACGAGUGGCGAACGGGUGAGUAACACGUGGGUGAUCUGCCCUGCACUUCGGGAUAAGCCUGGGAAACUGGGUCUAAUACCGGAUAGGACCAUGGACUUCACGGUUUGUGGUGGAAAGCUUUUGCGGUGUGGGAUGGGCCCGCGGCCUAUCAGCUUGUUGGUGGGGUAAUGGCCUACCAAGGCGACGACGGGUAGCCGGCCUGAGAGGGUGUCCGGCCACACUGGGACUGAGAUACGGCCCAGACUCCUACGGGAGGCAGCAGUGGGGAAUAUUGCACAAUGGGCGCAAGCCUGAUGCAGCGACGCCGCGUGAGGGAUGACGGCCUUCGGGUUG
rnacentral:rRNA from 1 species